AGAGCAAAAGGUUUUUAUUUACUAACCCCUCUGUCUUUCCUGAUUAAAUUACCCGCACUAAAGACUUCAAAGGCUCUCUGUUUUACUGUGUGAUGUCUUUGUUGCAUUCC